GCAGCUGCAGCAGCAGCAGGCCCAGAGCCUGGCGGAGCUGGAGCAGAUGCAGGGGGAGAAGAUGCACCUCUUGGCAGAGCAGGAGAGGCGGCAGCUGGGGCGGCUGGACCAGGAGCACGCCAUGGAGCUCGGCGCCUGGAAGCAGCGGCUGGUGGCUCGCAAGGAGAUGCUGGAGGAGGAACUGGGGAACUCGCUGCCGGCGCAGCGGCGAGGAGAGCCACGGGGCGCCCACAGGAUCAGCCGCUUCUUCCACCUGCCCUCCUGAUGCUGCGCUGGGGGUUACUGGGGAGAGGCAGGCGGGGGCCUGGCGCCCCGUCCCACGGCUCUUCCGGAGGGGACUGAGGGUCUCAAAGGUGACGCGCGGGGCAGCCGAGCCCCGGGGCCUAGCAGGACGUGGUACGGAGCCCGGCGGUGGCAGGGACGGGCGGGUUCGGGCCCCCCCGUGCCGGGCUGGAGUGAAGCAGGUGCCCACA